rnacentral:rRNA from 1 species
CUACGGGGGGCUGCAGUGAGGAAUAUUGGACAAUGGUCGAAAGACUGAUCCAGCCAUGCCGCGUGCAGGAUGAAUGCCCUAUGGGUUGUAAACUGCUUUUAUACGGGAAGAACACCACCCACGUGUGGGUGACUGACGGUACCGUAAGAAUAAGGACCGGCUAACUCCGUGCCAGCAGCCGCGGUAAUACGGAGGGUCCAAGCGUUAUCCGGAAUCAUUGGGUUUAAAGGGUCCGUAGGCGGGCUAUUAAGUCAGAGGUGAAAGUUUGCAGCUCAACUGUAAAAUUGCCUUUGAUACUGGUAGUCUUGAGUUAUAGUGAAGUGGUUAGAAUAUGUGGUGUAGCGGUGAAAUGCAUAGAUAUCACAUAGAAUACCAAUUGCGAAGGCAGAUCACUAACUAUAUACUGACGCUGAUGGACGAAAGCGUGGGGAGCGAACGGGAUUAGAUACCCGAGUAGUC